CAGUCGCCGCGGUAAUACGAGGGGGGCAAGCGUUGUUCGGAUUUAUUGGGCGUAAAGGGUGCGUAGGCGGUUUGGCAAGUCCUGUGUGAAAUCUAUGGGCUCAACCCAUAGCCUGCACGAGAAACUACCGGGCUUGAGUAUUGGAGAGGUGAGUGGAAUUUCCGGUGUAGCGGUGAAAUGCGUAGAUAUCGGAAGGAACACCUGUGGCGAAAGCGGCUCACUGGACAAUAACUGACGCUGAUGCACGAAAGCUAGGGGAGCAAACAGGAUUAGAUACCCCAGUAGUCCCUGUCUCUUAUAC
rnacentral:rRNA from 1 species